UAGGGAAUCUUCGGCAAUGGGGGCAACCCUGACCGAGCAACGCCGCGUGAGUGAAGAAGGUUUUCGGAUCGUAAAGCUCUGUUGUAAGUCAAGAACGGGUGUGAGAGUGGAAAGUUCACACUGUGACGGUAGCUUACCAGAAAGGGACGGCUAACUACGUGCCAGCAGCCGCGGUAAUACGUAGGUCCCGAGCGUUGUCCGGAUUUAUUGGGCGUAAAGCGAGCGCAGGCGGUUUGAUAAGUCUGAAGUUAAAGGCUGUGGCUCAACCAUAGUUCGCUUUGGAAACUGUCAAACUUGAGUGCAGAAGGGGAGAGUGGAAUUCCAUGUGUAGCAGUGAAAUGCGUAGAUAUAUGGAGGAACACCGGUGGCGAAAGCGGCUCUCUGGUCUGUAACUGACGCUGAGGCUCGAAAGCGUGGGGAGCGAACAGGAUUAGAUACCCUGGUAGUCCACGCCGUAAACGAUGAGUGCUAGGUGUUGGAUCCUUUCCGGGAUUCAGUGCCGCAGCUAACGCAUUAAGCACUCCGCCUGGGGAGUACGACCGCAAGGUUGAAACUCAAAGGAAUUGACGGGGGCCCGCACAAGCGGUGGAGCAUGUGGUUUAAUUCGAAGCAACGCGAAGAACCUUACCAGGUCUUGACAUCCCGAUGCUAUUUCUAGAGAUAGAAAGUUACUUCGGUACAUCGGUGACAGGUGGUGCAUGGUUGUCGUCAGCUCGUGUCGUGAGAUGUUGGGUUAAGUCCCGCAACGAGCGCAACCCCUAUUGUUAGUUGCCAUCAUUCAGUUGGGCACUCUAGCGAGACUGCCGGUAAUAAACCGGAGGAAGGUGGGGAUGACGUCAAAUCAUCAUGCCCCUUAUGACCUGGGCUACACACGUGCUACAAUGGUUGGUACAACGAGUUGCGAGUCGGUGACGGCGAGCUAAUCUCUUAAAGCCAAUCUCAGUUCGGAUUGUAGGCUGCAACUCGCCUACAUGAAGUCGGAAUCGCUAGUAAUCGCGGAUCAGCACGCCGCGGUGAAUACGUUCCC
rnacentral:rRNA from 1 species